rnacentral:lncRNA from 1 species
GAGCCAUCUGUUUACCCUCCAACUCCUCCAGGGAGGCGGGCACUCCGGACGGGGAAAUUCCCCCACCCCAGGUACACAGGACCCUGCAGAGAGGUCGAAUAUGGGGGAAGGGCCUUGCUGCCCUCCUAGAACCAUGAGCUAUAACCACCAGGCAGGUGGGUGGUGCAGGCCCAGCUACACAUUUUCAGGGGUCAGCAGGGGACAGAGCCUUUGGUUUGUGGACCUGGGUCCCAUGGACAUGUCAGCUAGCUGAACACUUUCAUUUUGCUUAAUCCGAUUUGAAUUGGGUUUUUAUCACUUGGGAUCAAGCCUUCUGCUAAUCCAUAUGGUCCCUGGACAAAACUGAUUAACUCACUGAGGUACUCAGAAACCUGAUAAAUGCCUCAGAUGAUGCCACUGGCAGCACAGGUGCUCAGCAUGUCCUAGGUAGAUAGCUGAACCUCGUUUGAGGUGUGUUUCAGCCUGCCAACCCUGGGAAGCGUGUCCACCUUCCUGGGUGGGUCAUAAACUUCUGCUCCCAAAACCCAGAGAGCUAAGUUCAGACUCUGAGGCUGCCCUGUCCCAUGGAACCCAGCAGGGGAGCUGACCACAUAUCCAGGAGAAAAGCCAGACUGGAACAGAGGCAGGCUGAUCUCUUAGUAACAGCAGCCAGCUCUGCCUUACCCUUCAAGUGCACUUGAUGUCUUUUACAGCCUUGUCUCUUUGCUCUCCUGUGAAGAUAUGGAGAAACACAUUCAGAAUUUUAAGCGUAGAACGCCUUCCAACUUCCCUGGCUUUUGGGAUGUUCUGGUAGAAUGCCUGCCUCGUGGUAGGCAGCAAUGCCUCAAUACCAAGUGAAAACAGGAGACCCCUCAGAUAAUAACAAUGGCAGUAAUGAUGGUUAUCAACCCUUUGGAGCCCCAGCACGGUUCAGCCACCAGAGAGCAAUUAACACGCAUCAUCUCACACAGGAAGUGAUUCUACUGCAGAAAUGGAGCAGGCCAUCAGGGAGCUGCAAAGGGCAAUAGGCACUGUCUCACCCCAUUGGAAUGGCGAUUACCAAGAAGAUGCAAGAUGGCAAGCACUGGCUAAGAUGUGACCAAACGAACUCUUACACUGCUGGUGGGGACGUACAGCCAUUGUGGAAAACAGCAUGGACAUUCCUGCCCUGGGACCCAGCAAUCUCUUAUACAGGGAAUAAACCAAAAAAAAAAAAAUGAAAUGGUAUGUGGAAGAGACAGGCGUUCUUCCGCGAGAACCAAGACAUAGGAUCAACCUAUGUCCAUCAUGGAUGAAUGGGGUAUACUCAAUAGAAUAUUAUUCAGCCAUAAAAAGGACAAAGUCCUGGCACUUGCAAC